GCAAGAACAAAGACCUUGAGGGGUCAAAAGUCCUCAGCAGCGUUUUCUUUUGGUUCCCGCCUCUUUCUUUCUUCGUCGUUGUUCCUCUCAGUCACUCUUUCUCUCCCGCCUCUGCCUCUCUCACUCUCUCAGACUCUCUCCAGAUUUCACACGAAUCACGAUCUCUCAAUCACUCUCUCUCUCUCACCCGCUCUCUCUAAGUCACUCAGUCUCUCUCUCAACCGCUCUCGCUCGCCUCUGCCUCUCUCAGUCUCUGGUCUCUGCCUCUGUCCGUUCUUCCUCUCAGUCACUCUCUCAGCCACUAUCGCUCUCUCUCACCCGCUCUCUCUUAGUCAUCAAAGGUCUCCCUCUCUCGAUUUUUGUUGGUUUGAGAAUUGAUUUGAAGGCAAAGUUUUUCCAGAUUGGCUUGCUGGUUGUGUUUAUUUCUGG